GGCGAAAGCCUGACCCAGCGACGCCGCGUGAGGGAUGAAGGUCUUCGGAUUGUAAACCUCUUUCAGUAGGGAAGAAGCGAAAGUGAUGGUACCUAAAGAAGAAGCACCGGCUAACUAUGUGCCAGCAGCCGCGGUAAUAUAUAGGGUGCAAGCGUUGUCCGGAAUUAUUGGGCGUAAAGAGCUCGUAG
rnacentral:rRNA from 1 species